GUCCUGUUCUACUCUGUGCACAGAAAGGUCACGGAUAUUCAGCCAUUCUCAUUACCUUCCUCAGGUGCUUGUUAUAUCUGUCAUUAUUGCUGUCUCUUACAAAAUCUCCCACAAAUUCCCAAAAGCACACAGAUUCCUUUAGGAUCUGGGAACUUGGAUAAUGUCAUACUCUGUAACUUGACUCCUAUCAUCCUAAGCAUAUUCAUCAUUCAUGUCAGUGUCUCUCUAUUCUAGUCUGUUUUUGACCAUCUAUUCCUGUGGCCUUCAUUUAACAAGUAUGAAUACCCCUUUGUGGCAAAUACUGUUGGUUGCCUGCCUAGUGGGCACUCAUUUUCCCUAUUGUUUCUUUUCUCAAAUGAAGCUGAAUAUAUCAUAUAUUUGCUUGCUCAGCCUCCUGACAACUAGUUAUUGGUGACCAAGUGACCCAGUUAUGACCAAGGAGACAUAAGGAACAUUUUGGGAAAUGUUUCCUUAACUGAUAAAAGGAGAGAGGCCAGUGAAGAGAACUUGAAUCUCCUUUCCUGCUUUUGGACUUUGUCACGUGAGGAGAUGAUACUCAGAGCUGCUGCGCUCAUCUUGUAGCUCUGACUGACACCUGAGAAUGGUAGAAAAGACAGAAAAUUCUACAGUUCUCAAUGACGUUGUUGAGCUUCCAAUCCAACACUGCAACCAGCUGCUUCUGGAUUUCUUUUUACUUGAGAAAAGUAUACUCCAAAUGUUUGUCACUUUUAGAUCAGUACCUCUGAUACUUGUAGCUGAAAGCAACUUGACGUAUACACUAUUAGUAUACCAAGAGGCUUAUUGGGAAAUUUAAAAAAAAGUAUGAGUCCUUGCACUUGAGGAGUUUACUUUAGUGAGGAGGUAGUUAUGCAAACUAAAAUUGCAUUAUAUUUGCUAGAUUAGUGGUGAACUAGACUGUUAAGUUCUAACAUGACAGGUUGGUGUCUCUUUUGUUUGUUGUCUCCCUCAAGCCUAGUGUGGCACCAAGAAUAUGGUAGAUGCUCAGCAAAACUGAAGAAAGGGUGGCAGGAAGUGAAAACUCUACUCCUGAGUUCCUGCAUAUAUGACCCAGUGAAGAAUUAUUUCUGUCUGAAAGGAGAAAGGAUUCUGGGGAGACAGCAGGGCCCGAACCACCAGGAAUCUGUCUCCCCACCUAGACAACAAUGGCACUAGCAGAAUCUGUCUGAUGUAACUAUUUUGGAACUCUGGAGUCUAUUGAAGGCUUGCAACUUCCAGGGGAAGGUUUCGAAGGUAAGUUGUGAUUAAUUGUGGUCAAUUUCAGCUCUUAGCUCAGUGGCAGUUGCCUAUCCCCCACCUCCAGCCACAUGACAGACAGCUGGACUUGUGUUCUUGGAGCAGUCCUCACACAGCUUGCAGGAGCCAGAGUGAGCAAAAGGGACUUUGUCCUCAAAAUAUUGGGAAUCUGUGCUCUGAUUGCAGCUUCUAGUCACAGAGGUGCAAAGUCCCUCCUUAUAA
rnacentral:lncRNA from 1 species